GCGCCCGUAGCUCAGUGGAUAGAGCAACGGUUUCCUAAACCGUGUGUCAGGGGUUCGACUCCCUUCGGGCGCA
rnacentral:tRNA from 1 species